rfam:Sphaerobacter thermophilus DSM 20745 chromosome 1, complete sequence.
UCGUGCUAGGCGGGGAACUAGCGGUGCCCUGUACCCGCAAUCCGCUAUAGCGGGGCUGAGUUCCCUCUCGAGGUCCGGCCUUGUGGGACUGCUCGGGCUAAGUGGUGAGGAAGGUUGGGUCCCACGCGGCAAGGACCCACGAACCCGGUCAGGUCCGGAAGGAAGCAGCCGUAAGUGGCCAUCCUUGGGUGACGUGGGGGUGCCUGGCUGGAGCUAACUGGCCCGGUGCAAGCCGGAGGGUCGUGAUCGACAGAGGGUGCACGA